rnacentral:snoRNA from 1 species
UAGACCAACUCGAUCAGGAUCUAUUUUAUAGUAACUGACUGAGUCUCGCAAUUUCUCAAUUGCCACUUCUUCAAACCUAGUCGAUGAGACGACGCUUGCCGCCUUACACCGAGAACAUGUGUGCCUUUGGGCGCACUCGAGGACGUGCCGACUCUCUGAGUCGGGGGCGCGCAGCGGAUUUCUGAUAGGU